UACAGAGGUCCCAAGCGUUGUUCGGAUUCACUGGGCGUAAAGGGCUCGUAGGCGGUUUGUCGCGUCGGGAGUGAAAACACCGGGCUUAACUCGGUGCUGGCUUUCGAUACGGGCAGACUAGAGGUAUUCAGGGGAGAACGGAAUUCCUGGUGUAGCGGUGAAAUGCGCAGAUAUCAGGAGGAACACCGGUGGCGAAGGCGGUUCUCUGGGAAUGUCCUGACGCUGAGGAGCGAAAGUGUGGGGAGCGAACAGG
rnacentral:rRNA from 1 species